AGGAGCGCCCUUUGAAACUGUCGGACUGCACUUUACAUAGCACCGAAGCCUUACUGCCGGACCGCACUUUCCACAUUGCCGGAGCCCUUUUACACAACCCCGGAGCCUUACUACCGGACCGCACUUUACACAUUGCCGCCCUAGUGCCAGACCACACCUUACACAAUGCCGGAGCGUUACUACCGGACUAUACGUAUACAAUGCCAGAGCCCUAUUUUGGUGGGAUAGAGGAGAGAGACGUGGGUAGGGUAAAAGUAAAGAAGGGUAGUUUAAAUAUAUUUUUUAUUUUUUGGUUGGCGGUAUUUGUAAAAAAAAAAAAGUGUUUGCAUAGAAAAUGUAUUUUAGAGGAAAAACUGA
rnacentral:lncRNA from 1 species